CUACACUGCAAAAACGAUGGUGGGUUAUACCCACCAUAUCUGUGGAAGGUACCCACUUUUUGGUUUUCCACCAAUGUGGGUGAAACCCCCUGGUGUUAUAUUCCCCCCUUUGGUGGAAAAUACCCACCAUCAAUGUGUAAUAAUUACACUCAUAAUAAUAAUGUAAUAAUUAAUCUAGUAAUGCCACGCCCACUGCGCAUGCGCAGUUCAGUUCCAAAUUAAUCCAGCUGCAAAUGGCUUCCUUCUCUUUUGUCCUCCAUUACUGCCAGUCUAUUUUUUGGCCGUUUAGCUCUUAGUUUUGCCUCUGUAUUCUUUGAAAUCCCCAGAAAAUUAUCUCAUUUUCGAAGGCCGCUUCCAUGUCAGCAGCUAUUUCUGUGACUCUUCCUUCAGGCUGUCCCCUUAGGCUAUGAUUUGUGUCUAGACUGAUUGAACUACCAAUAGCUGUGUUCAAAAUGGAUCGCGUCCAU